UUCUUUUUCAUUUGUAUGGUUUUUAAAUUGUGUUUAACAGUAGAACUGUGUCAUUCUACAGCUUCUUCUUGCUUCUGAGGAAAGCUCCAGAGGCUUUGUCUAGACAAAAGCAAAAGAUUUGCGCUGUGAAGGGAGAGAUUCAAAGGACUGAAGUUGACACUAAACACCUACAGAGCACUGUUCUUACACAAAGGACAAACUUCCCAGACACUCGCUGUCAAGGAGCAGCAACCACACAAGUCCUUCCCUGAGAAAUCUGGCAAUAGAUUGUUGGAACAAAGAAGGAAGUCAGUGAUGCUAAUAAUCCUCCUGCAGCAGGCAGAAGCUG
rnacentral:lncRNA from 1 species